rnacentral:ncRNA from 1 species
UACCUGGUUGAUCCUGCCAGUAGUCAUAUGCUUGUCUCAAAGAUUAAGCCAUGCAAGUCUAAGUACGAGCUCUCGUACAGUGAAACUGCGAAUGGCUCAUUAAAUCAGUUAUGGUUCAUUUGAUCGUACAGUUUACUUGGAUAACUGUGGUAAUUCUAGAGCUAAUACAUGCGAGAAGCGCCGACCUCGCGGGAGGCGUGCAUUUAUCAGACCAAAAACCGGCCGCGUCUUCGGGCGCGUUCGCCUUGGUGACUCUGGAUAACUUUGCGGAUCGCACGGUCUAGCACCGGCGACGGAUCAUUCAAGUGUCUGCCCUAUCAACUUUCGUCGGUACGGUAUUUGCCUACCGAGGUUCUUACGGGUGACGGGGAAUCAGGGUUCGAUUCCGGAGAGGGAGCCUGAGAAACGGCUACCACAUCCAAGGAAGGCAGCAGGCGCGCAAAUUACCCAUUCCCGACGCGGGGAGGUAGUGACGAAAAAUAACAAUGCAGGACUCGUUCGAGGCCCUGUAAUUGGAAUGAGUACACUUUAAAAGCUUUAACGAGUAUCCAUUGGAGGGCAAGUCUGGUGCCAGCAGCCGCGGUAAUUCCAGCUCCAAAAGU